AUGUCAGCGCUUGAGAUUCUUCAGUUUGUUAUGGCUGUAGAUUGCUAUCCAAAUGUCUCUGUUGCCUAUCGAAUCCUCUUAACAGUGCCUGUGACUGUAACCUCAGCUGAAAGAAGUUUCUCUAAACUGAAACUACUGAAAAAUUAUUUGAGGUCAACUAUGUUGCAAGAUAGAUUGAAUGGCCUGGCGAUGUGCUGCAUUGAGAAGGAUAUCUUGGACAAUGUUGAUCUUGAUUGUGCCCUUAAUGACUUCGCAUCACGAAAUGCCCGAAGAAACAUUUUUUGA
rnacentral:rRNA from 1 species